CAAUGCAUCAACUAGGAAGAAGGAGGAAUGCCAAAUCAACAGGACAUAAAAAUGGUUUGAAAAAGUGUUGUGCCAUACAAUUGGGCUGGCUUAACUGCACUGGCCAAACAAGGUACAAACAUUAGUCAGAGCUCAGAGUGGUGGGGGCACAAGGCAUUUUCAAAUUGAUAAAGCCAUAACAGUUGGGGAACUAUUGAAUGUGGCAACAGCCACAUUUUUCCUGGGAGGAAUUUCAAAGCUUGGACAAUUAUGUAAUUUCAGUUAUGAAAUAUAAGACUUUAAAGGUGAUAGCAUAGAAAAAAAGAAAAAUAUAGAAGAUCUGUACAAAGACAGUCGGUUGAAAGUGUUACGUUUGUAUUUGUACACACGGCCAAGAGAACAAACUUCUGAAACGAGAUCAGAGACAAAAUGUUCAGAAUCAUCUGAAGAUGAGUUGUCUAGUCUAUCAUCUGUGUAUGAAUUGAGUAGCAGUAGGAUGACAACCGUUGGAGCUUCCUCUUCACCAAAUGUGUCAACACAAGAAACACAUUUGAGCAACACAAGCUCCAGUCAAGAAUUGGUUUCUCCAGAUCCAGAUCCACAGUUACCAGACAUUACCCCCAGAGACGUCUACUUCAGCUGCAAAGGCGACCUUCAUUGAAACAGGCACACCUACAGUGCUGUUCAGACAAAG